UACGUAGGGUGCAAGCGUUGUCCGGAAUUAUUGGGCGUAAAGAGCUCGUAGGCGGUUUGUCGCGUCUGCUGUGAAAACUCGGGGCUUAACCCCGGGCCUGCAGUGGGUACGGGCAGACUAGAGUGCGGUAGGGGAGACUGGAAUUCCUGGUGGUAAGCGGUGAAAUGCGCAGAUAUCAGAAGGAACACCGGUGGCGAAAGCGACUCUCUGGCUCGUAUCUGACGCUGAGGUGCGAAAGCUUGGGUAGCAAACAGG
rnacentral:rRNA from 1 species